rnacentral:rRNA from 1 species
CGGGUGAGUAACACGUGGGAACGUGCCUUUAGGUUCGGAAUAGCUCCUGGAAACGGGUGGUAAUGCCGAAUGUGCCCUUCGGGGGAAAGAUUUAUCGCCUUUAGAGCGGCCCGCGUCUGAUUAGCUAGUUGGUGAGGUAAAGGCUCACCAAGGCUACGAUCAGUAGCUGGUCUGAGAGGAUGACCAGCCACAUUGGGACUGAGACACGGCCCAAACUCCUACGGGAGGCAGCAGUGGGGAAUCUUGCGCAAUGGGCGAAAGCCUGACGCAGCCAUGCCGCGUGAAUGAUGAAGGUCUUAGGAUUGUAAAAUUCUUUCAGUAGGGACGAUAAUGACGGUACCUACAGAAGAAGCCCCGGCUAACUUCGUGCCAGCAGCCGCGGUAAUACGAAGGGGGCUAGCGUUGCUCGGAAUUACUGGGCGUAAAGGGAGCGUAGGCGGACAUUUAAGUCAGGGGUGAAAUCCCAGAGCUCAACUCUGGAACUGCCUUUGAUACUGGGUGUCUUGAGUAUGAUAGAGGUAUGUGGAACUCCGAGUGUAGAGGUGAAAUUCGUAGAUAUU